rnacentral:lncRNA from 1 species
UAAGUAGAAACUAUGAAUAAUGAUACAGAUUUUGAUUUGGUGAAAAAGGAAGCAGAAACUAUGAAUAAUGAUAAAGAUAUUGAGAAAAUUGGUGUGAGAUUUAAAAUGAUGGAUGAUGGAUUAUAUAGAGGAUUCUAAAAUGAUUAGGUUGUAGAUAGUGUCACGUGGCAUGUCGUCAUUCGUUAAAAAUCUAAUCGAAAUCUAUCCUAAAAAAUUCUGAAAAGAUAAUGACACGUGGCACGACGACAUUGGAUAAAAAUCUUAUCGAAAUCCAUCACUAAUAAUUAUCUUUUCGGAUAAUGACACAUGGCGCAAUGAGAACGAUUUAAAAUCUAAUCGAAAUCUAUCCUCAAAGAUUAUGAAAAGAUAACGACACGCGGCAUGAUGACAUUCGAUAAAAAUCUUAUCGAAAUCUAUGACCAAUAAUAGUCAUUUUGGGUAAAUGACACGUGGUGUAACGAGAACGAUUUAAAAUAUCUUAUCCGAAAUUACAAAUAAAUUUAUUUAGUAUGAUUUUGUAAAAAAAAUAAUUAAUAAAUAUUUUAUUGCCUAUUGCCAAGGCUAUUCAAGUGCAAUGGUGGAGAUGCAAAAUGCAGUUACUGUUCAUUAUGGCAGUUACUGUUCACAGGGUGGAUUGAAUAAUGGAUUGCCUGGAGGGAGGGCUCCAAGGGUGGAGUUGCUCUAAUGGAUUUGGGUCCAUAACCAUGAGUUCCAAUGUACGAGAUCUUGUAGUACUUAGAGAUGUUUUGCAUAUCAUACUUUAAACAUAGUAUAUAUGUCCAAUUUUAAAUGAGGUCUCGAUUGCAGGUUCACCUCAUAAAAUAUUUAGUAAUACAAGUUGUUGAGGUCUAUUACAAUUCCAUUCAACAACUUUAAAACAUUUCACUUUCAUACCUCAAGUACUAUUUUAUUUCAAUAUAAUACAUCCGUUAGAUUUUCCAUU